rnacentral:rRNA from 1 species
UGUGUCCUACGGGGGGCAGCAGUGAGGAAUAUUGGUCAAUGGGCUUACGCCUGAACCAGCCAAGUCGCGUGAGGGAAGACUGCCCUAUGGGUUGUAAACCUCUUUUGUCAGGGAGCAAUUGGCGCUACGUGUAGCGUUAUCGAGAGUACCUGAAGAAAAAGCAUCGGCUAACUCCGUGCCAGCAGCCGCGGUAAUACGGAGGAUGCGAGCGUUAUCCGAAUUUAUUGGGUUUAAAGGGUGCGCAGGCGGCACGGCAAGCCGGCGGUCAAAUCGCGGGGCUCAACCCCGCCCAGCCGUCGGAACUG